rnacentral:lncRNA from 1 species
UUGACAAAUGAUUGUGUUGCAGACUAGAGCACUCUCCUCAGUAUCUUUCUAAGCUUGCUUCUUCUUAUAUUUUCCUUCUCAAUAAGGCAGUCAAGUUCCGGAAGAACCCUCCUGAGUGCAACCCCAAGUAGGUAUUUUUCUAUUAUCUUUCUUAUUUUCUUUCUAGUUACUGAGAAUUUAUUGGAUGGCAUCCUUAUUUAGUUGUAAGUCAUCUUCUAGUAAAGUUGUUGUAGAUAGUGAAGAAUAUAGGGUCAGUGUUGAGAAGAAUUUGCACAAUUGGAACAUCCCAAAAGAGAAAAUCUACAAAACAGGAUUCUUCAAAUCCAACAAGUUAGUGAGAACUGAAAAACAAACAAUGCCACUGUCCACUGGAGAUCAAAUUAUAAGAUUACUUCCACAAGAGCAUUUAUACCGAUUCCAAGACGAGGAUUGUUCCCUCCAUGUAGGGUUGGUUCAACUAGCAGUUGGACCAUUAACAAGGCAAGGUAUUAAUGGAACCUCAGUUGUUUUAUGUCUCCAAGAUAAUAGGCAUAGCAAGUUUGAAGACUCCUUGCUAGGAAAGCUUCAAUUCAGUCUUUGUGAUGGACCCAUAUAUUUUAACUGCUUCCCCAAUUUUUUGGUGUCUCUAAUGGAUCGAAGAGUAUUCGACUGCUUGAAUUUAAGCAUCAAAACAAAUGGCUAUAAUAUGGUACAAGGAUCACUGCCGAUAGCCCUUGAAUUCCGUGUCGUUUACAAGAUAAUGAAAAAAACCCCAGCUGUGCCAAAAGCCUUGGCAGAAUACCCAGGAGGAAGAGUCCUUUUAGAAGAAAAAAUUGGAAGAUCAAAUGCUGUUUUUCCAGCAUCAGUCAAGUGGAGCGAAGUCGAAGAUGCAUAGCAGUGGAUGCUACCAGCUGAAGUCCCUCAACUACUUUACCUCAAAGUGAGCCAGAUAAAUGUAUUUCAUAUCAGUAUGCAUUGCACGGUUAUACGUGUGUUUUGUCGUUAGUUUUCCUGGUGUGUGUAUAUGUAUCUUCAAGAAUGCUUUUCUCCCUUUAUCUCUGUAAAUGUCUCUAUAAGUCUAUAACUAAUGAAGUUUGUCUGUUAUUCCAACUCUUCUCCUCUUAGUUGUUUAUCUUAUCUGAUUUAUGUGUUUGUCAUUGUGAUGGCCAAUCUAUUUGUUUCAUAGUAUGUUCUGUACUGUUUGCAUCAGGGCCAAGGUUUAAGAUUGCUAUAGAUCUGACAAUACCUGUGUUGUACUGAGCUCUCUAGUUCCGGUUUUGGUUUCUAAUUGGCACUUCUUAGAGCUGGUGGACAGCAAUGGGGUUUCUUAUGGCAAAUUCACUCGGAUCAUUUGGUUGGACGCCCACUAGUGAUGACAAUACUUAGGAAGUCAGAAUGCAUUAUAUAUCCCAAAGGGUUCUGGUUUAUGAUUCUUCCAAGAAAAGAUUGAAUCUGUCAGUGGUUAUGCCGUAAAUAAAUAAAACAUAUUUGUUAUUGAAAUCCAUGACAGUUUCCUAUGAUUAUACACUAAUAUGAUUGGGGAACAAACAUGUCCGGAAAAAGUAGCAGUUAGGCCUUUAAGUUUAACCAAGGCUGGUUUGAACAACUUCUGCUAUUGUGUACGAGGCAUUGUAGAAGCUAGCCUUUUUGAAUCUCACUAACAGGUCUGGGAAUCCUAUAGGUUCUCAGUCUCAUCUGAAGAUCCAAGGAUUCAAUAUUAAACCAGGAUCACAUAUAUGCCAACUUUUUUUUUUUUUGCUGGAAUUGAAGUGGAAACCUAUUGAUGAAUGCUGUAAGUUUUCCGGUUUUGGAGGAUGGAUGAUGUCCUGCUCUUGGGAAAGACUUGAGGAGACUUUGGAAAGACUUUGAUCUUUACUAUUUUGGAAAGAACUUUGAUAUAUAAAAACAAAAGUUUAGGUAUUGUUUGGUAAGUGUUUUUUAAAAUAACUCUAAAAAAUAGUUUUUAAAAACAGUUUUUAAAAAUUGUUUUGUUUUGUAAAAUAAAAGUUUAUUUGAAAACCUAAAAUGUUUUUAACUUGUUUUUAAUAUUUUUAAAUAUAUUUUAAAAAUAACUUUUACAUUCACAACUUUAUUUUUAAUUAUUAUAUAUGUGUAUUAUUAUUUUUUAAAACAAUUCUCAAAAAACAAGUAAAAACAACUAAAAGACAUUAGCUGAAAACAUCAUAUUUUUUGUUUUAAGAACUGAAAACAAAAAAUAGUUUUUGAUUGUCAAAUAUAUUUUCUAGUUUUCUUGUUUUAGAAAAUAAAAAUUUGUUCUUGAAAAUAGUUGCUAAAUAGACCCUUAAAGCCUCUUUUUGGAAGUUGUUCUUGACAACCGUUUUUUGUCCUCAAAUAAAAAUAGUUUUCUAAAGUAGAAUACAUAUUUGAAAAGCUUUUGAUAAUUUUUUUUUUUUUAAGAAUUUACCCUAAAAAUACCUUUUUUUUUUUGAAAGAACUCAGGUAAUUUCAGUUUAUUUUUAAAAUAGGAAGAAUAUUUUAACUUUUAACUGUACAUAAAUGUGCAGUACCUUUAUGGAGAAUAAGCUGAGAAAAUUGCAAUUCAUAUUUAAGUUGAAUUUUAUUCUUGAAAAUCAUUAAAAAUUAUUUUUAAGAAUAGUUAUCCCAAACUAUUUUUUGGAAACUAUUGGAAAAAACAUAGCCAAAAAAAGCUCUAAGUGCAUUUUUUGAUCAUAUAUUUUUCUUCCUUUUUUUUUUCAAUGAAUAAAUGUUUUAUAACACUACAUAAAUUACAUAAAAUGCUAAGGACCCUAGAGGAAUAGUAUACUCAGGACUAGAAUGAUUUUGCCACAAGAAAAAUGGCACUGUGUCAAUCCCUACCCAAAAAUGCCCUAGGACCUUCCAAGACAUUCUGAUGAUAAAAUCUGCCAAACUCUCAGACAAUGGACCAAAAUUGACUUGAUAAAAUCAUGUACACAAAAAAUAAAAAAAUAAAAAAAAAACCCAGAAUUGGCUUCAAAAUAUUGUUGGACACUGGAAAAGAUGAGAAAUGAAUGGAUCACAAUAAAUACCAGAGCAAAAGACCCAAUAAACUCAAUGAUCUCUUUUAGUUUAAAAGAUAUGACCCACUUAAUAUGAAGGCAUAAUUAACUAUAUUCAUAAAAAAAUUCCCAGGAGCAGCGUAGAGAGGAGACCUCAAAAUUCAGCAAUGGCAUGUUUGGGUUCAGUCAACCAGUCUGUGGUAGCACUCUCUAAUAAGUUCCACAACACCAACACCCAAAGCCUCCCAACCAAACACCUGUCUUCUUUAUCAUUAUUUAGUGGUUCUUCUUCUCCCUUAUCAACAAAAUCACCCAAAACCUACAAGCCAACUUACAGAGUCAACACUGGGAUUGUGAGGGCAGAAGCUAUGACAACUGAGAAGCUGGGCAUCAAGAUUGAGAGGAAUCCUCCUGAGUCCAGACUCACUCAACUGGGUGUCAAAUCUUGGCCCAAGUAUGUUUUCUGCUCUUUUUCUUCUUCUUUCUUCCAUGGAAAAAAUUGAGGAAAACAACAGAAAAAGUGGUGUAUUCAUGUGUUUAUAAAUGCUUUAGGGUUGUCGAUGGGCUCAUGUAUGUGGGUUAUUGAAUAUUGAACAGGUGGGGGUGUGAACCAAGCAAAUUCCCAUGGACGUUCACAACCAAAGAGACAUGUUACCUACUGAAGGGCAAAGUGAAGGUAUACCCAGAUGGGGCUAAUGAGUGUGUUGAGAUUGGGGCUGGUGAUUUGGUGGAGUUUCCCAAAGGAAUGAGCUGCACUUGGGAUGUCUCUGUUGCAGUGGACAAGCAUUACAGCUUGGGCUAAUUCACUAGUCUUCUGCAGCCCCUUUGCCUCUCUUCUUAUCAAUAACUGCAUGAAAUGAAGUAUUGGGGUUCUAGAAGUAGAUCUUAGGAUACAAUCAAACUCAUAUGUUUGUCUCUCUGUGUAAUUUGGUUGUGGAAUAAGAUGUUCUAGCCCUUUUAUUGGAUAAAUGCAGAAAAUUUUGGGUUUUUCUCAGAUUCUUGUUUUGAGGCAAAGAUACGGAGAAGGAAAAUUGUAUGGUAAUUCUCUGCCAUAUAAUAACUAAAGGUGCAAGAAAAGGAUAGUUAAAUCUAAACAAAAUGACGUCAAAAGAGAGAGAGAGAUAGCAAAAUUAAUUGUCAAAGCAACCAACUUGAAUAUUCAGAAUGAAAAACUACUUUUUGACAAGGGAAAAUAUUAAAAGUAGAGUGGAUUCUACUUUCUACUUGCUACUUGAAUUUAGUAUUUGAUUUGAUUGUGGCACCAACUCGCUAGUGGAAUGUAUCCAUGAGUGGGCUUACUUUAUAGCCUUAUGAAUAUGAGAUGCUUCCUUUGUUAGUUAUAAAUAAAUAAAAAGGAAAAGGAAAAGAAAAGCAAGAGUUUUUCAGAAAUCAGAUCAUGUGGGGAUGGGUAAGGGUAUAGGAGAAUUAGGGCAGUUGGAGGUGAGUUGCUCUGCGAGGAUGCCCCACACCCACUUUCUAAAGAGACUUCAGAGUUUGAAGGAAGGAAGAAAUAUGGUUAAAAGGAAAGAUUGAAAGAUUGAAAGAUUUUAGAAGUUGAAAAAAGUCCAUGAUUUAUGUUUAAUAAAACUUGGAUGAUACUAUAAAAAAAAAUGAGAUUCGAAUAUAAGGAAAUAAGAGUUCCAUAUAAAAUAACCUAAACAUGAAGGUCAAGGAUACCAUGCUCACUUU